AUGAGUAUCUUAAUGUGGAACUGCCGAGGGGGGGGGGGGGUGAACCACCAGACAAUUCGUGAGGUUUUGGCCCUAUCAAAAGCCAAUUCCACGGGGCUGAAUUUUCUGUCUGAGACACGUCAAGCCUCAAGUAAGAUGGAGAAGCUUAAGUGGAGAUUACAAAUGAAAGGAUUCGCUGGUGUUUCAAGUGUUGGCCUCAGUGGGGGUCUAGCUUUAUAUUGGGAUGAGAAUUUG
rnacentral:rRNA from 1 species